rnacentral:rRNA from 1 species
CACGUAGGCGGCUUUGUAAGUCAGAGGUGAAAGCCUGGAGCUCAACUCCAGAACUGCCUUUGAGACUGCAUCGCUUGAAUCCAGGAGAGGUGAGUGGAAUUCCGAGUGUAGAGGUGAAAUUCGUAGAUAUUCGGAAGAACACCAGUGGCGAAGGCGGCUCACUGGACUGGUAUUGACGCUGAGGUGCGAAAGCGUGGGGAGCAAACA